UCUACGGGGGGCAGCAGUGGGGAAUAUUGGACAAUGGGCGAAAGCCUGAUCCAGCCAUGCCGCGUGUGUGAAGAAGGCCUUCGGGUUGUAAAGCACUUUCAGUGGGGAAGAAAGCCUUGGGGCUAAUACCCUCGAGGAAGGACAUCACCCACAGAAGAAGCACCGGCUAACUCCGUGCCAGCAGCCGCGGUAAUACGGAGGGUGCGAGCGUUAAUCGGAAUUACUGGGCGUAAAGCGCGCGUAGGCGGUCUGAUAAGCCGGUUGUGAAAGCCCCGGGCUCAACCUGGGAACGGCAUCCGGAACUGUCAGGCUAGAGUGCAGGAGAGGAAGGUAGAAUUCCCGGUGUAGCGGUGAAAGGCGUAGAGAUCGGGAGGAAUACCAGUGGCGAAGGCGGCCUUCUGGACUGACACUGACGCUGAGGUGCGAAAGCGUGGGUAGCAAACAGGAUUAGAUACCCGAGUAGUC
rnacentral:rRNA from 1 species